rnacentral:rRNA from 1 species
UAUCGCCUACGGGAGGCAGCAGUAGGGAAUCUUCCACAAUGGGCGAAAGCCUGAUGGAGCAACGCCGCGUGGGUGAAGAAGGGCUUCGGAUCGUAAAACCCUGUUGUUAGAGAAGAAAGUGCGUGAGAGUAACUGUUCACAUUUCGACGGUAUCUAACCAGAAAGCCACGGCUAACUACGUGCCAGCAGCCGCGGUAAUACGUAGGUGGCAAGCGUUAUCCGGAUUUAUUGGGCGUAAGGG